GAUGAACGCUGGCGGCGUGCCUAAUACAUGCAAGUCGAGCGAACAGACGAGGAGCUUGCUCCUCUGACGUUAGCGGCGGACGGGUGAGUAACACGUGGAUAACCUACCUAUAAGACUGGGAUAACUUCGGGAAACCGGAGCUAAUACCGGAUAAUAUAUUGAACCGCAUGGUUCAAUAGUGAAAGACGGUUUUGCUGUCACUUAUAGAUGGAUCCGCGCCGCAUUAGCUAGUUGGUAAGGUAACGGCUUACCAAGGCAACGAUGCGUAGCCGACCUGAGAGGGGGAUCGGCCACACUGGAACUGAGCCACGGUCCAGCCUCCUACGGGAGGCAGCAGUAGGGAAUCUUCCGCAAUGGGCGAAAGCUGGACGGAGCAACGCCGCGUGAGUGAUGAAGGUCUUCGGAUCGUAAAACUCUGUUAUUAGGGAAGAACAAAUGUGUAAGUAACUAUGCACGUCUUGACGGUACCUAAUCAGAAAGCCACGGCUAACUACGUG
rnacentral:rRNA from 1 species